rnacentral:rRNA from 1 species
GAUGAACGCUGGCGGCGUGCUUAACACAUGCAAGUCGAACGAAGCACUUUAUUUGAUUUCCUUCGGGACUGAUUAUUUUGUGACUGAGUGGCGGACGGGUGAGUCACGCGUGGGUAACCUGCCUUGUACAGGGGGAUAACAGUUGGAAACGGCUGCUAAUACCUCAUAAGCGCACGGCAUCGCAUGAUGCAGUGUGAAAAACUCCGGUGGUAUAAGAUGGACCCGCGUUGGAUUAGCUAGUUGGUGAGGUACCGGCCCACCAAGGCGACGAUCCAUAGCAGACCGGAGAGGGUGACCGGCCACAUUGGGACUGAGACACGGCCCAAACUCCUACGGGAGGCAGCAGUGGGGAAUAUUGCACAAUGGGCGAAAGCCUGAUGCAGCGACGCCGCGUGAGCGAAGAAGUAUUUCGGUAUGUAAAGCUCUAUCAGCAGGGAAGAUAAUGACGGUACCUGACUAAGAAGCACCGGCUAAAUACGUG